rnacentral:lncRNA from 1 species
AAAGGGCCACACAAAGGACAAACAAAAGGAUAAACAAAUGCAUGACCUAGCCAGGCUUUGAGAGAUCAACGCAGUCCUGAAAGUUUAGGCACAUGGGCUCAAAUUAUUGUACAAUGAGGGACUGAAUGGAGAAGCGUGGUGCCUAAGCCAAAGCACUUUUCCUGAGAGACUGAUGGGCUGGGCUAGAAAAUUAAUAAGUACCUAAGGAUGAAGGAAUGCUGUGGACUUGCAUGGGCUCCCACCAGAGACUGAUUCCACUGGGAGAAUCUGUUGCUGGUUGCUAAAGUACAAAGGACCACUGAUCAUAAGUCACCAUGGGAUAUCAGCAAAAAGUUCCUAGUGUAACCAAGGUCAAUGUUUGACGCUGCCAGAAGAGUCCAUCCAACUAAGACCCCACAGCUGAUGACUUUUUUUAUUUGUUUGCUUUGCUUUGCUUUGCUUUUCUGUGUUUCCUUUGUGGCAGAAGUCAACUGCUUUUGAACACUUUUUGAUCUUUAUCCAUGACAUGGUUAAAAGUUGCCACUGUAGGACCCUGUACCUAUUUUCAUCAGAAGCAUCCUUGAAUUUGUGUUCAUUUGUUUAGGUGUUUUCUUCUUCCUUCUCCUCUUCCUCCAUCUCCUUUCUCUCCUCUUCCUUUUCUUCCUGCUAUUGUCACAGUGUAAAUAUUCAAAAGUUCUAGGCCUUUACCCCCAACCACACUUCCCUGUGGAUGACUAAUCCUUGAAGAAGUGCACUCUAAUUGCUGUUGGAUGGCAGGCAGAAUCUGUAACCACAGAGGUGCACAGUAGUGCAAAUACCUUCCAAGGACCAGUAGACUUGAAUACGGAUCCAAUGGGAGUUGGUUGUCUGGUGUCAAGAUGAGCACUGGGCACAGCAUUAUCAUAGAGGGCCAGUGAGGUCAAGGUUGCAGCUCUUUUUGUAUCUUGCAUCUUCUUUGUUCCAUAUAGUCAAAAGGGAAACGGGAAAGGAGCCACAUCAAAUUGCUCCAAGACUCUGUGUGUGUGCUUGCCUACAUUGAUCCUGGGAGGAAAACAUUUCAAAUGGGAAGUCAGAGAAAGGACUGGAGAGACCCUUGUUAUGAGUCCCAUGGAGUCUCUACUUCCUCGUGCAGUAGGUUCCUAGAAACAGUAAGGUCACUUCCUGCUGUUUUGGGAUGGGAAUUUUCUCUUUGGUUGCAGUUUCAACAUAAUAGAGAUAUAAAAAAUGAAGACCUUGAACACUGACAGGUCUCUAAAACACCCAGCUAGCCAAAAGAGAUACUAAAUUUCUUAAAUAAUGUUACAUACACACAAACAAGAGAAAAGUGAAAUACCAUUUCCAGGAUGAAAUUGCAUGCGCUAAUUAAGGGCAGAAAAUUCCUUGCCAGUUAACUCAAUGACUCUCCAACUCUUACCAUCAGGAUAAAACUGAAGGACAAAGGAUGCCUUUUGGCUUUUUUAAUUUUUUUAAUAUUGCACUUUAUAGUAUUUCAUAAGAGACUAUUGUCUUAAUUAAAGCCAUAAAAUACCAAUAAUGCAUAUAUUCAGGGCUUCUGGAUAUAGUCAAUAAACAGUCCACGGGUCAUUCUGUGUGUUGUUCGUUGUAAAAUGAAGUUUAUCUGUUCUGUUUUUAUUACUUAAACUACUGUUCUAGACAAUCCUAAUCAACUAAAAAAUUUUAGGUGUGUAGUUUAAUCAAACUUUGAAAAUCAAAGAAAUUAUUCAUUUCAUGAAAGAAUUCUUCAUUUCCAAAGCAGCUAGUUGCAUGGUUUCUUUAAAUAGCAAGUUCCACUGUUGCACUGAAAAUAUUUCCUUUUAAAAAUCCUAGAUUAUUUUACAGGAAUCCAUUUGUUAUGUUAAGUAAGAUUCACCCAUGUGGAUAUUGGAGUGGAUGAUUAGCUAACAUGCCUGAAAAUAUUAGAAUGUACUUGUGUUUUUAUAUAAAUAUAUGAUGUGUCUAAGAAGUUCCCUUAUAAAAAUGGCAAGCAGAUAUAUAACCUGUCAAUAAUAUCUUAUACCUAUAUUUGUAUACAUCACUGGGAGGACAAGCAAAAGCAAUGGACUUCAUGGUGGACUGGGUGAUCAAUUUCCUUUUCUAUCAAAACAGUUUCUGACUGAGGAUGGUGAGCUGUUCAUGUAUAGAUAUGGACAGAAGCUCUCAAGACUAAAACCCUUAAUAUUUCACUUUGUAAUGCAAUCAGAGUGAUAGCUGAGAAGAUUACUAAAGGGCACAUAAUAGCCUAGAACAAUCCACCACAGCAGGGUAGCUAGGUCAUCUAUGUAAGCCCCAGUAUUAAAUAGAACAACCCCAUCAAUAAUCUUAGGCUUGAACAGACAACUUGUCCUAAAGAAAAAUAUCUGAAUGCAGAGUCAGUGACAUUCCUCUAUCACAGGCUGUGUGGAGGCCCAAGGUCCUCAAAAAGUCAGACCGUCCAUCAGAGCUUCUGUUGAAUUCGGCAGAGUCCACCUUGAUCCCUGUACCUAACCUUGUUCUUCCAAGUCUCAAUAGCAACAGCUUCCAUCUUCACAAUGCAGACACAGAGAGGUGCAUGAAAACAUAUAUGACUCGCAAACCAGGCAUAAUGGCACACCUGCAAUCCGAGAAGUGAGGAAGUAGAGGCAGGAGGAUUGGAAGAUCCUGGUCAGCUUUGGCUACAUGAGACCCUGUCUCAAAAAAAACAAAUC